rnacentral:rRNA from 1 species
UGGGGAAUAUUGCACAAUGGGGGAAAGCUUGAUGCAGCAACGCCGCGUGAGGGAUGACGGCAUUCGGGUUGUAAACCUGUUUUAGCAGGGAAGAAGCGAGAGGGACGGUACAUGCAGAAAAAGCACCGGCUAAAUACGU